rnacentral:rRNA from 1 species
AUUGAACGCUAGCGGCAUGCUUUACACAUGCAAGUCGAACGAGUGGCGGACGGGUGAGUAAUAUAUCGGAACGUGCCUAGUAGCGGGGGAUAACUACUCGAAAGGGUAGCUAAUACCCCAUACUAUUGGAGCUGCCGAUAUGGGAUUAGCUAGUUGGUGGGGUAAAGGCUCACCAAGGCGACGAUCCGUAGCUGGUUUGAGAGGACGACCAGCCACACUGGGACUGAGACACGGCCCAGACUCCUACGGGAGGCAGCAGUGGGGAAUUUUGGACAAUGGGGGAAAGCCUGAUCCAGCCAUCCCGCGUGUAUGAGAAGGCCUUCGGGUUGUAAAGUACUUUUGGCAGGGAAGCGGUAUCUGCAGAAUAAGCACCGGCUAACUACGUGCCAGCAGCCGCGGUAAUUC